rnacentral:lncRNA from 1 species
CUUGUACAUGAAUGUUUAUAGCAGCAUUACUCAUAAUUGUCAAAAGGUGGAAACAACCCAAAUAUCACUAUGAAUUGAUAAACAAAAUGCGCUACAGCAAUACAGUGAUACAUUUGGCAUUAAAGAAAUGAAGUACAGAUAUAUGCUACAAUAUGCGUGAACCUUGAAAACAUAUGCUAAGUGAAGGAAGCCAAACCCCAAAGGCCACACGGUGUAUUGCUCCACUGAUGUGAAAUGUCCAGAAUAGGCAAAUUCACCAAGACAGAAGGUAGUUAUCCUGCAGGAGUCUUUUUUUUUUGUGACGGAGUCUCGCUCUGUUGCCCAGGCUGGAGUGCAGUGGCACGAUCUCGGCUCCUUGCAACUUCUGCCUCCCGGGUUCAAGCAAUUCUUUGCCUCAGACUCCCAAGUAGCUGGGAUUACAGGUGCCCGCCACCACGCCCUUCUAAUUUUUGUAUUUUGUAUUUCACCAUCUUGGCCAGGCUGGUCUUAAACUCCGGACCUCUUGAUCCACCCGCCUUGGCCUCCCAAAGGGCUGGGAUUACAGGCGUGAGCCACUGCGCCCAGCCCGGGAGUGACUGUUAAUGGCUUUGAGGGUUUCUUUUUGGGAUGAUGAAAAUGUUCUGAAAUUGGACAGUGAGGAUGACUGAACUGUGAACAUAAUAAAACCACUGUACACCUUAAUUGGGUGAAUUGUAUGGUAUGUAAAUUAGAUGGCAAUAAUGAGGUUAAAAAAAGUAAACUUUUAACAUCAAUGUCACCAGGGGUUCAAGUUCUGGCUUACACAGAAUUCCUUUCCUGGAGAGCAGAUAAUAUGCAAAGCCAGCAGUGAUUUAUUUUUACUCACAAAUUCCUUACAUAUUUUUACUCACAAAUUCCUUACAUAUCUAGUAGUCAGGUUCCUAUUUUAAGCAUGUAGCAAAUACAUUGUAACUCUUAAUUCUGGAAUGCAGUCUUUAUGGCUUAGUGAGCCAUCCAAUCCACUUAUAGUCUUCGUCAGCGGCAAAAUCUGGAAUUUCAUGGUACUGUUACUUUGAUCGCUCAACUUAGAUUUAUAUUUUAUAAAUAUAUAUAUACAUACAUAUAUAUAUAUUUUUUGAGAUGGAGUCGCGCUCUGUCGCCCAGGCUGGAGUGCAGUGGCGCGAUCUCGGCUCACUGCAAGCUCCGCCUCCCGGGUUCACGCCAUUCUCCUGCCUCAGCCUCCCGAGUAGCCGGGACUACAGGCGCCCGCCGCCACAUCUGGCUGAUUUUUUGUAUUUUUUAGUAGAGACGGGGUUUCACCGUGUUAGCCAGGAUGGUCUCGAUCUCCUGACCUCGUGAUCCGCCCGCCUCGGCCUCCCAAAGUGCUGGGAUUACAGGCGUGAGCCACCGCGCCCGGCCAAAUAUUUGUAUUCUUGUGCACCGGAGGAUGGUUUUCCCCCACUGACUCCAAACGUCUUCCUUGCAUUUGCUGUGUACAAUUCAGUGAUUUGGGUCUCUCAUCCAUUUAUACUUUCAAAUUUUACCAAUACUUUUUGAACACACUUAAAAAAAAAAAAACCCAGGAAGUAUCUCUAAAAGGCCAAGGUAAAAUAAAAUGAAUGGGAGUUCUUGUGUUCGAGUUUUCUUCCAACUGGGCUUUCCUGGAGGAGGUGGAAGAGUGUGUGGCAGAUGUUUCAGAAAAUGAGCGCUCAAUACGGUAGAUCACGCUCCCGGGGUCAAGGAGACGUUUUCCGUUUUCUUUUCCCUCGCUUAGGCGGCGGGCGCGCACAGUCCAGUGGGAGCGAUGAGGUGUUUCUAGGCCCCCAAGUCACAGAAAAGCAGGCGAUUGGGAACAACGGAGGCGCGGCGGGCCCCCGGGCCGCGGGCCAGCGCCACCUUCUGGUGGAUCUUCCCCGACGCGAGUCUGGGAGUCGUCCCUCCCCUUGCCAGCCUACCUGGCUCAGGCCCGCCGCG